rnacentral:rRNA from 1 species
CAGGCCUAACACAUGCAAGUCGAGCGGACCAUUCCUUCGGGGAUGGUUAGCGGCGGACGGGUGAGUAACACGUAGGCAACCUGCCUGUAAGAUCGGGAUAACUACCGGAAACGGUAGCUAAGACCGGAUAGCUGGUUUCUCCGCAUGGGGGAAUCAUGAAACACGGGGCAACCUGUGGCUUACGGAUGGGCCUGCGGCGCAUUAGCUAGUUGGUGGGGUAACGGCCCACCAAGGCGACGAUGCGUAGCCGACCUGAGAGGGUGAUCGGCCACACUGGGACUGAGGCACGGCCCAGACUCCUACGGGAGGCAGCAGUAGGGAAUCUUCCGCAAUGGGCGCAAGCCUGACGGAGCAACGCCGCGUGAGUGAUGAAGGUUUUCGGAUCGUAAAGCUCUGUUGCCAAGGAAGAACGCCUCGGAGAGUAACUGCUCUGAGGGUGACGGUACUUGAGAAGAAAGCCCCGGCUAACUACGUGCCAGCAGCCGCGGUAAUACGUAGGGGGCAAGCGUUGUCCGGAAUUAUUGGGCGUAAAGCGCGCGCAGGCGGUCUUUUAAGUUUGGUGUUUAAGCCCGGGGCUCAACCCCGGUUCGCACUGAAAACUGGGAGACUUGAGUGCAGGAGAGGAAAGCGGAAUUCCACGUGUAGCGGUGAAAUGCGUAGAGAUGUGGAGGAACACCAGUGGCGAUGGCGGCUUUCUGGACUGUAACUGACGCUGAGGCGCGAAGGCGUGGGGAGCAAACAGGAUUAGAU